CCAGACUCCUACGGGAGGCAGCAGUGGGGAAUAUUGCACAAUGGGGGGAACCCUGAUGCAGCGACGCCGCGUGGGUGAAGGAGUAUUUCGGUAUGUAAAGCCCUAUCAGCAGGGAAGAACAAUGACGGUACCUGACUAAGAAGCACCGGCUAAAUACGUGCCAGCAGCCGCGGUAAUACGUAUGGUGCAAGCGUUAUCCGGAUUUACUGGGUGUAAAGGGAGCGUAGACGGCAUGGCAAGUCAGAUGUGAAAGCCCGGGGCUCAACCCCGGGACUGCAUUUGAAACUGUCAGGCUGGAGUGCAGGAGGGGCGGGCGGAAUUCCUGGUGUAGCGGUGAAAUGCGUAGAUAUCAGGAGGAACACCGGUGGCGAAGGCGGCCUGCUGGACUGCGACUGACGUUGAGGCCCGAAAGCGUGGGGAGCAAACAGGAUUAGAUACCCCCGUAAG
rnacentral:rRNA from 1 species